rnacentral:rRNA from 1 species
CAGGACGAACGCUGGCGGCGUGCCUAAUACAUGCAAGUCGAACGGUCUUUUCUAUGGAAGCUUGCUUCCACUGAGAAGAUAGUGGCGAACGGGUGAGUAACACGUGGGUAACCUGCCCAUAAGAGGGGGAUAACAUCCGGAAACGGGUGCUAAUACCGCAUAGUUUUCUUGAUCGCAUGAUCGGGAAAGGAAAGACGGCCUUUGUGCUGUCGCUUAUGGAUGGACCCGCGGCGUAUUAGUUAGUUGGUGAGGUAACGGCUCACCAAGACGAUGAUACGUAGCCGACCUGAGAGGGUGAUCGGCCACAUUGGGACUGAGACACGGCCCAAACUCCUACGGGAGGCAGCAGUAGGGAAUCUUCCGCAAUGGACGAAAGUCUGACGGAGCAACGCCGCGUGAGUGAAGAAAGGUUUUCGGAUCGUAAAACUCUGUUGUCAGAGAAGAACAAGUUGGAGAGUAACUGCUCCAGCCUUGACGGUAUCUGACCAGAAAGCCACGGCUAACUACGUGCCAGCCGCAGC